GACGAACGCUGGCGGCGUGCCUAAUACAUGCAAGUAGAACGCUGAAGGAGGAGCUUGCUUCUCUGGAUGAGUUGCGAACGGGUGAGUAACGCGUAGGUAACCUGCCUGGUAGCGGGGGAUAACUAUUGGAAACGAUAGCUAAUACCGCAUAAGAGUAGAUGUUGCAUGACAUUUGCUUAAAAGGUGCAAUUGCAUCACUACCAGAUGGACCUGCGUUGUAUUAGCUAGUUGGUGAGGUAACGGCUCACCAAGGCGACGAUACAUAGCCGACCUGAGAGGGUGAUCGGCCACACUGGGACUGAGACACGGCCCAGACUCCUACGGGAGGCAGCAGUAGGGAAUCUUCGGCAAUGGACGGAAGUCUGACCGAGCAACGCCGCGUGAGUGAAGAAGGUUUUCGGAUCGUAAAGCUCUGUUGUAAGAGAAGAACGAGUGUGAGAGUGGAAAGUUC
rnacentral:rRNA from 1 species